UACGUAGGGUGCAAGCGUUGUCCGGAAUUAUUGGGCGUAAAGAGCUCGUAGGCGGUCUGUCGCGUCUGCUGUGAAAACUCAGGGCUUAACCCUGAGCUUGCAGUGGGUACGGGCAGACUAGAGUGCGGUAGGGGAGACUGGAAUUCCCGGUGUAGUGGUGAAAUGCGUAGAGAUCGGGAGGAACACCUGCGGCGAAGGCGGGUUGCUGGGCUGACACUGACGCUGAAGCGCGAAAGCUAGGGGAGCGAACGGG
rnacentral:rRNA from 1 species